GACGAACGCUGGCGGCGUGCUUAACACAUGCAAGUCGAACGGAAAGGCCCUGCUUUUGUGGGGCGCUCGAGUGGCGAACGGGUGUGUAACACGGGUGUAACCUGCUCUUGAUUUUGGUAUAACUUCAGGAAACUGGGGCUAAUACCGGAUAGGAGCUCCUGCUGCAUGGUGGUGGUUGGAAAUUUUCGUCGGUUGGGGAUGGACUCGCGGCUUGUCAGCUUGUUGGUGGGGUAGUGGCUUACCAAGGCUUUGACGGGCAGCCGGCCUGGGAGGGUGACCGGCCACAUUGGGACUGAGAUACGGCCCAGACUCCUACGGGAGGCAGCAGUGGGGAAUAUUGCACAAUGGGCGGAAGCCUGAUGAGGCACCGCGCCGUGCGGGAGAACGGCCUCCGGGUUGUAAACCGCUUUCGCAGGUGACGAGGCGUGAGUGACGGUAAUGGGAAAAGAAGCACCGGCUAACUACGUG
rnacentral:rRNA from 1 species